rnacentral:snRNA from 1 species
GGAUGUGAGGGCGAUCUGGCUGUGACAUCUGUCCUACCCCAUUGAUUGCCACAGUUGAUUCGGCUUAUCUGGCUGGCUAGACGGGUGCCCCCUUCCUCCCUCACCGCUCCAUGUGCGUCCUUCUGAAGCUGUGCUUAUUUGAAGAGGACCUUACCCCCAUAGAGGAGGACCGUUCUUCAGUCAAGAGUAUACGACUGACUGGUAGCUGCACUACCCUGCUAGGACCUCCAAACAAGCUCUCUCAAGAUUCACAGUUUAGUUGAGACUGUAGAUAAACUAUGGAAUGCAACAAGAAACAUUUUUAUGAACAGUCAAAGGUGGAUGGCUUUGUCAGGGUAG